AUUGAACGCUGGCGGCAGGCCUAACACAUGCAAGUCGAGCGGAUGAAGGGAGCUUGCUCCUGGAUUCAGCGGCGGACGGGUGAGUAAUGCCUAGGAAUCUGCCUGGUAGUGGGGGAUAACGUCCGGAAACGGGCGCUAAUACCGCAUACGUCCUGCGGGAGAAAGUUGGGGAUCUUCGGACCUCACGCUAUCAGAUGAGCCUAGGUCGGAUUAGCUAGUUGGUGGGGUAAAGGCCUACCAAGGCGACGAUCCGUAACUGGUCUGAGAGGAUGAUCAGUCACACUGGAACUGAGACACGGUCCAGACUCCUAAGGGAGGCAGCAGUGGGGAAUAUUGGACAAUGGGCGAAAGCCUGAUCCAGCCAUGCCGCGUGUGUGAAGAAGGUCUUCGGAUUGUAAAGCACUUUAAGUUGGGAGGAAGGGCAGUAAGUUAAUACCUUGCUGUUUUGACGUUACCAACAGAAUAAGCACCGGCUAACUUCGUG
rnacentral:rRNA from 1 species